GUAGAAAAUGUUCUAUACACAUGUAUUUUAAGGCUUUGUUUACCCGUCAGACUAGUUGAAAAUGCAUGGGUGUACUAUGCCUGUAGCUAUGAGGUGACGGACAGAUUGAUGAACUGCCGCAGCCUUGGAGGUGCCACUUGCUCAAAUUACGAAUGGUUUUAUGAUAUUUUUUGUAGACUGUGGAAUAUUACAGUAUCUUGUAACAAGACAAUCGGUAUUAAAAAUCAUGUAAUUUACCGAUAAGCAUACACGACAACAUUACUGCAGUGAUUAAAAGUACUCCUGUAAAAUGCUAAGUGGCAUCAUCAAAGAGCGGGAGGAGGGGGGAGCGAGUCCGAGAGACCUUCAAAACAGCUGAGUGAUGAUGCCACGUAGCAUUUUACAGAAGCACUUUUAAUCACCGCAAUAACAUUGUCAUGUAAUGCUUAUCGAUAAAUUAUAUGCUUUUAACAACAUUUGUCUUCUUGUAAGAUACUGUAAUAUUCCACAUCCUGCAAAAAAAUAAGAUAAAACCAUUCGUAAUUUGAGCAAGCGAGUUGUAUAAAUAUUUCGUAGAUAAGUUGCAUACAUCCCGUAUAGAGGAGUGAGAUCACAGAAGAAUGACCCUAAAUGGAUGACUGCUAGCUUAAGAUAUUAUAUAGGGCAGAAGAGAAAUAUAUAUGAGAUUGAAUUAGAACAGUCAGUUAACGAGGAAAGCUAAGGGCAAUUAUGAAUAAAGGAUAGCCUGUCAGGCGAAGACGGACCCCAAGGGAUUUUAUCAGGUAUACAAGAAGAAGAAUAAGGAUACUAUAGGUCCAUUAAAGUCAGCAGAUGGGAAGCUGGUUAGUUCUGGGGAGAAGAUUAGCAAAAUUCUGAAUGAGUAUUUUUUAACUGUCUUCAACCAGGAAAACAUGCAGGAUAUGCCAAAUAGUGAACAGAUGUUUAGAGCAGAUGAGAAUGAGAAGCUGACAGAUAUUUCCAUAACUAGGGAUAUAGUGGAACAGGAGCUAGAUAAGCUAAAACGUUCAAGACACCAGGACCUGAUGAAAUAUAUUCCAGAGUACUUAAGGAAUGCAAAGAGGUUAUUAGUGAGCCGUUAGAUUCCGUCUUUAAGAAAUCACUUGAGUCGGGUGAGGUACCAGUAAUGUUGAGGCAGGCUAAUGUAGUACCCAUCUUUAAGAAAGGAGAUAAAACUUUAGCGUCUAAUUAUAGACCUGUCAGCUUAACUUCAGUUGUGGGUAAAUUAUUUGAGUCAAUAAUAGCGAGAAACAUUAGGGAACAUUUAGACAAACAUAACCUGAUAACUCAGUCACAGCAUGACUUCACGAAGGGGAAGUCUUGCCUGACAAACUUGUUAAGUUUUUACAGUAAAGUGUACGAGGCAGUAGAUAAUGGUGAUAGUUAUGACAUCUUAUAUCUGGACUUUAGUAAAGCAUUUGACAAGGUACCCCAUCAAAGGCUCCAGAGAAAGGUUAGGGUACAUGGGAUAGAUGGGAAGGUGUUAGGCUGGAUAAGGUCAUGGCUAAGCAACAGGCGACAAAAAGUUGUAAUAAACGGCUCGAAAUCUGAGUGGGGUCAUGUAAUUAGUGGGGUGCCACAGGGAUCAGUAUUAGGGCCAUUGUUGUUUUUAAUAUAUAUCAAUGACUUAGAUAGUGAAAUUAGUAGUGGUUAGUAAAUGCGGAUGACACAAAGAUAGGUAGAUUAAUUAGGUCAGAAUCGGAUGCCAUCGCCUUGCAGGCAGAUUUAAAUAGGAUGAAGGAAUGGACGGACAGAUGGCAAAUGCAGUUUAAUAUAUCAAGAAAUGUAAAGUACUUAGCAUAGGUAGAGGAAACCCACACAGUAGGUACACAUUAAACAACGAAACUCUGGUAGGUACAGGGUACGAGAAAGAUUUAGGAGUUAUAGUUAGCUCUGAACUCCGUCUAGGAAAACAAUGCAUAGAGGCCAGAAACAGGGAAAAUAGGGUACUAGGAUUAAUUUUUAGGAGUGUUAAAAGUAGAAAGCCCGAAGUAAUGUUGAAGUUAUACUUGGCGCUGGUCAGACAACGCUGUGCAGUUCUGGUCCCCACAUUACAGGAAAGAUAUAGAUCUAUUAGAAUCAGUACAGAGGAGAAUGACUAAAAGGAUACAGGGGAUGAGGAGUAUUCCUUACGAGGCGAGAUUGAAGCUGUUAAAUUUACAUAUUUACAUUCUUUAGAGAGACGUAAGUUAAUUAAGAGGGGGACCUGAUAGAAAUCUUUAAGUGGUAUAAGGGUUAUAACAAGGGGGAUGUAAGGAAAAUUCUUAGGAUCAGCAACCUGGAUAGAACAAGAAAUAACGGGUUCAAGCUUGAAAAAAAUUAGGUUUAGGAAGGAGAUAGGAAGAAAUUGGUUCUCAAGUAGAGUGGUAGAUGAGUGGAACGGACUCAGUAAUCAUGUUGUUAGUGCUAGGACAUUAGGGAGCUUUAAGAGAAGAUUAGACAGGUUUAUGGAUGGGGAUGAUAGGUGGAAAUAGGUAUAUUUCAUACAGGGACUGCCAUGUGUAAGCCUGGUCGUUUCUUGCAGCUUCCCUCAUUUCUUGUGUUCUGUUCCUUAGUGGCACCUCCGAAGCUGUGAAAAUGCAACCGUCUGUCCGUCACCUCAGCUACACGCAGAGUACACACAUACAUUUUCAACUCCUCUGACGGGUAAACAAAGCCUUAAAAUGCAUAUGUGUAAAGAACUUUUUCUACUUAGAAUUACACGUUCUUUCACUUCUUUUAGUAUUUGCAGAAACUCGCGCUACACCUUGUAUAAUAUACUAAUUACUGAUGUAGGGAAUUUUAUUUACGUCGUCGUUAUGUCCCCUAUACCCCUUACAAACCUCUGCCGGAUCCUGUUAGCCUACUCUUGUCUAUUGAAUGAAAAUUUAAAAGUUUAAGUCUCCUUUUGUGAGAAAUUCUCAUCCCCUGUAUCCACUUAUUCAUUCAUUUUUGUACUGAUUCUAAGAGACCUAUAUAUCCUUCCUGUAAUAAUGGGACCAGAACUGAACUAUAUAAUAUACACAGCAGAUGAGGUCUGACCAGCGCCAAUAUAAUUUUAAUAUUUGUUAAACUCUGAGCCAUCCUUGCUAGCAAUGUGUAUUAGGCGAGUAGGACAGGGAAUAAAACGUGCGAGUCCUAAGACAGCUGGAGCAGAACUAAAGUGUACCACACCUGCUAUUUAUUUCAUUGGCUUCGACACAGAUUAAAAAUACACAGUGUGAAACCCCAAAACCCCGAACAUCUGAGUAACUCAAUUGAACCCCGAAUAAACCCACCAACGUAUCAUUAUGUUUCGGACCCAACACCCCCACUGAAACUAAUGAUGGGUAUAUACAAUACAACACACAUUAAAUCAAUACACACUCCUGUUUUAACUAUCUACACACCCAUAAUAACUUUACUGAAAUCACAAAGCUUUACUUUAGGUAUACAGGUUUAGUGAACAUAUCAGCAAUAUUUUGAUCAGAUGGUACAUAGUUAAGUUGCACUACACCUCUCUGAACCUCUAUCCUAAUAAAAUGGUAUCUAAUAUCUAUGUGCUUUGAUCUCUGAUGCUGGACAGGGUUUUCAACUAAUUUUAUGGCACCUUGGUUAUCACAGUGUAUAUAGUACAGCUGUUUAUCGAAGUACUUCCUGUCAUAUCUUCCAGUAAUUGCAAUAAAAACUUUGCCUCUUGAGUAGCGGCAGACAAGGCCAUAUACUCAGCUUCACAAGUAGACAGAGCAACUGUUCUCUGUUUUCUAGUCUUCCAAGAGAUUAAUGGACCCCCACUGGAAAGUUGGAAGCUAUACCCGGUAAUACUUCUGCGAUCUUGUGCAUUAGCCCAGUCAGCAUCACAAUACCCAAUCAAAUUCAGUGACUCAUCUGACUUUUUAAAAGUCAAACAUUGAUCAAUGGUACCUUUCAAAUAUCUUAAUACAUGCUUGGCCAUAGUGAGAUGAGAAGUAGUUGGAUUAGUCAUAUUCUGAGACAAUUUAGUUACAAUAAAGCACAAAUCAGGUCUAGUACAUGUCAUUACAUAGAUCAGACUUCCAACUCUAUACAUAUUGAUAUCAGCCAGUUUUGAUUCACUAGAACUAAUACAUACUUUGUUCACAUCCAUGUUACAAGGAGUAUAGGCAGGUUUACAAUGUUGCAUACCAAAUUUCUCAAGGAUCUUUUCCACAUAUUUAGUUUGAUUCAUUUUAAUUACAUUAUCAUCACACACAAACUGUAUACCUAGAUACCAGGAAAUUUUGCCUAGAUCUUUCAUCCUAAAUUUAUCACCCAGACUUUCCUUCAUGUUCUUCAAUUUUGCAUCACUGCUGGCCGCAAUUAUUAUGUCAUCAACCCAAACUAAUACAUUGGUUACCUCAUCAUCAGUAAUUCUGGUAUAAAGACAUGGGUCAGCAAAUGACUGAGUUAAACUUAGGUCAACCAAAUAUGAGUGCAACAGUGAACUCCAAUUUCUACCACUUUGUUUGAGACCAUACAAGGAUUUCUUUAAUUUGUACACCAACUUCUCGCCACCAUUACCCUCCACACAGAAACCCUUGGGUUGUUCAACAUAAAUUUCACAAUCAAUAGGUGCAUUUAAGUAGGCAGUUUUUACAUCCAUUUGAUGAACAACCAGGUCAUGUUGUACAGCCAACUGCAUUAAAGUUCUUACAGAUGUGAUCCUAGUAGUUGGGGAAAAUGUUUCGUGAUAAUCUAUACCUGCCUCCUGAGAGUAACCCUUAGCAACAAAACGAGCCUUGUACCUUGUCUCAUUGUUAGGGUUAAACUUCAGGUCAUAUACCCACCUACUUCCCACAGCUUUUCUACCUUCAGGCAAAGUAGUAAGCUCAAAAGUCUCAUUAUCCUUUAGAGCUUUCAUUUCCAAUUCCAUAGCUUCUCGCCAUUUAUCAGAAUCAGGAGAUGCAAUAGCAUCUUGAUAUGUAUAAGGUACACUGGCUAGUUUAUAGCAAUAGUCAACAGUACAAUUCACAAUACUAUCCAAAGCCUCAUCCAUUUCAUCACCAACAAUACAGUCACCAAAAUAUAUGGGUUUACGUUUUACUCUUUCUGACCGCCUUAAACACACACUGUCCUCUGUUUGGUUACCAACUUCUGGGCUAGCUUCAGUGUCAGUACUACGUGUUGUAGUCCAGUCACAUUCACUACCCCAUGCUACAUCUGAACUUACAUCUACGCUAGGCCUGGUAAAUUUGACACAUCCACUUUCCUUACUGUACCAGUCUUUGGAAAAUAUACAAGGUAUGCUGGACUAGACUUAUCAUAGCCUACAAAAAUUCCAUCCUCACUUCUGGCAUCAAGUUUUUUCUUCUGUUGUACAUAGGCAUAACAUACAGAACCAAAAAUGUGCAUAUUACUAAUAUUUGGCUUUUUACCUGCAAAAGCCUCGAAUGGAGUCUUCUUAAUCCUAAGGUUAUAACAUCUGUUUCUAAUGUAAGCAGAGGCCAUAACGGCAUACGUCCACAGAAACUUUGGCAGACCAGACUCUAUUAGUAAACAUCUGGCCAUUUCAAAAAGAGUACGCCAGCCUCUUUCAGCGGUACCAUUUUGGUGAGGUGAGUAGGGAGAAGACAUUUCAUGCUUGAUUUUAUUUUCCACGAGUAAAUCUCCGAAUGCAUUAGAAGUAAAUUCCGUACCUUCAUCACUUCUGAGACAUUUCACUGAGCCAUAGGGAGAAAUGUCUGCUAUGAAAUGCUUAGUUGCCUGUAAGGUGUCACACUUAUAUUUGAGGAAGUAUAUCAUGAUAAGACCGGAGUAAUCAACAAAACUGAGUGCAUACUUAAAACCGUCCUUGGCAACAGGAUCAAUGGGACCAGCUAGGUCACAGUGUACCAUAUCUAGUUUAGCUUUUGAACGCUCAUCAGCUUGUCUGUUUCUAAACUGAGUCAUUUUCCCUUUAACACAAAUGCCACAAUCAAAGUCCUUUUUGUCACUAAUUUUCAUCCCGUUCACUACACCUUCAAGUUUCAAAAUAUCACUCACAUUACAAUGACCGAGAAUUUCAUGCCACUGUCUCAAUGUAUAGGACGCCCUAUUUGAACACAGUAUUGUUUAAGAAAUACAGUCUACCAUGCUUAACUAUGUCAAACUUUGUACCGUUUGUAGAUGUUAAUUCUGCAGAAUUUGGUUUAAACUCGAUUGAUGCACCCUUCUCAGUGGCAGCUUGAACCGAGAAAAUAUCUUGCUUGAAGGAAGGUACAUAGAGAGCAUUUUCCAGAAUUGUUGUAUGAACAUUACCACAAGAGUCUACAAGGGUAACACAGGCAUCACCCUUCUUUUUAACCAGAUUAUUUGUUCUACUACCAUCAGCUAGUUCAAUAAAAUGUCUCUCAGGAUCAAAUUGCUUGUCAAAACACACAAAUUUGGAGUCAUCAUUGAUUAUAUGAGUAGUUGCACCACAGUCCACCAUUAACUUGUUAACCACAACACAUGAUUCAGUCUCUGAUCUCCGAAGCCCCACUUUAAACACAAAACUGUGGCUCUGACUGUCAUAAUCAUCACUAUAAUCUUUUACGUUCCUGGCAGAGUCUUUACCACUGUUACCCCCCGAACUCUUCCAACAAAACUUCGUAUCGUGGGAGUUAUUCCUGCAGUUCUCACACCAUCUUCUUAAAGUCUGGUUCGGUCUAGAGACACGGCAGUCGACCGAUUUGUGACCCUGAAGACCGCACUUGAAACACGUACCACUGAAUUUACGAGACUCUAUCCUCAUCACUCUGUCACUGUCAC